UAUACAUGGCUAUAUCUGUAUAUAUAUCGGG
rnacentral:piRNA from 1 species